rnacentral:tRNA from 1 species
GGGUAUAGCUCAGUGGUAGAGUACAUGCUUAGCAUGCACAGGAUUGUGGGUUCAAUCCCCACGAUCUCCA